AGUGGGAUUGCUGGGUCAUAUGGUAAGUGUAUGUUUAACUUUAUAAGAAACUGCCAAAUCGUUUUCCAGAGUGACUGCACCAUCUUUGCCUUUUCAUCAGCAGU
rnacentral:pre_miRNA from 1 species